rnacentral:rRNA from 1 species
GAUGAACGCUGGCGGCGUGCCUAAUACAUGCAAGUAGAACGCUGAAGGAAGGAGCUUGCUCUUUCCGGAUGAGUUGCGAACGGGUGAGUAACGCGUAGGUAACCUGCCUGGUAGCGGGGGAUAACUAUUGGAAACGAUAGCUAAUACCGCAUAACAGUAGAUGUUGCAUGAUAUCUACUUAAAAGGUGCAAUUGCACCACUACCAGAUGGACCUGCGUUGUAUUAGCUAGUUGGUGAGGUAACGGCUCACCAAGGCGACGAUACAUAGCCGACCUGAGAGGGUGAUCGGCCACACUGGGACUGAGACACGGCCCAGACUCCUACGGGAGGCAGCAGUAGGGAAUCUUCGGCAAUGGACGGAAGUCUGACCGAGCAACGCCGCGGGAGUGAGGAAGGUUGUCGGAUCGUAAAGCUCGGUUGUAAGAGAAGAACGAGUGUGAGAGUGGAAAGUUCACACUGUGACGGUAUCUUACCAGAAAGGGACGGCUAACUACGUG